GAUCUUGGUUCAGGACGAACGCUGGCGGCGUGCCUAAUACAUGCAAGUCGAACGGUCUUUUCUAUGGAAGCUUGCUUCCACUGAGAAGAUAGUGGCGAACGGGUGAGUAACACGUGGGUAACCUGCCCAUAAGAGGGGGAUAACAUCCGGAAACGGGUGCUAAUACCGCAUAGUUUUCUUGAUCGCAUGAUCGGGAAAGGAAAGACGGCCUUUGUGCUGUCGCUUAUGGAUGGACCCGCGGCGUAUUAGUUAGUUGGUGAGGUAACGGCUCACCAAGACGAUGAUACGUAGCCGACCUGAGAGGGUGAUCGGCCACAUUGGGACUGAGACACGGCCCAAACUCCUACGGGAGGCAGCAGUAGGGAAUCUUCCGCAAUGGACGAAAGUCUGACGGAGCAACGCCGCGUGAGUGAAAGAAGGUUUUCGGAUCGUAAAACUCUGUUGUCAGAGAAGAACAAGUUGGAGAGUAACUGCUCCAGCCUUGACGGUAUCUGACCAGAAGGCCACGGCUAACUACGUGCCAGCCGCCGC
rnacentral:rRNA from 1 species